UACAGAGGUCUCAAGCGUUGUUCGGAUUCAUUGGGCGUAAAGGGUGCGUAGGCGGCGCGGUAAGUCGGGUGUGAAAUCUCGGGGCUUAACUCCGAAACUGCAUUCGAUACUGCCGUGCUUGAGGACUGGAGAGGAGACUGGAAUUUACGGUGUAGCGGUGAAAUGCGUAGAUAUCGGAAGGAAGACCAGUGGCGAAGGCGGGUCUCUGGACAGUUACUGACGCUGAGGCCCGAAGGCCAGGGGAGCAAACGGG
rnacentral:rRNA from 1 species